GAUGAACGCUGGCGGCGUGCCUAAUACAUGCGAGUCGAGCGAACGGACGAGAAGCUUGCUUCUCUGAUGUUAGCGGCGGACGGGUGAGUAACACGUGGAUAACCUACCUAUAAGACUGGGAUAACUUCGGGAAACCGGAGCUAAUACCGGAUAAUAUUUUGAACCGCAUGGUUCAAAAGUGAAAGACGGUCUUGCUGUCACUUAUAGAUGGAUCCGCGCUGCAUUAGCUAGUUGGUAAGGUAACGGCUUACCAAGGCAACGAUGCAUAGCCGACCUGUGAGGGUGAUCGGCCACACUGGAACUGAGACACGGUCCAGACUCCUACGGGAGGCAGCAGUAGGGAAUCUUCCGCAAUGGGCGAAAGCCUGACGGAGCAACGCCGCGUGAGUGAUGAAGGUCUUCGGAUCGUAAAACUCUGUUAUUAGGGAAGAACAUAUGUGUAAGUAACUGUGCACAUCUUGACGGUACCUAAUCAGAAAGCCACGGCUAACUACGUG
rnacentral:rRNA from 1 species